rnacentral:sRNA from 1 species
GACGUGUCAACAAAUUGCGCGAUUGGGAGUAGGCUCUGGAUUGUCCGACCCGGACUGGCAAACCGGCCUCCGCUGAAACCCGGAAUUUAAGGGGGAAAGUAUGGCAUUCUAAGGCUGAAGAAAAUGUAGCGGUCAAUGGUAUGCGUAUUGGCGAGUUAACUAUGUCCGGAGAACGAAAGUCCACGCACUCGCAUAUAUGGUCGUUGAGUGAAGGAAGUUGAAAUCUUCUCGAUCGAUCAUCCAACGCGAUGACGCGCUGGAACCGCGACGGAAACACGCUAGGGCUGGAUCUUAUCUUAUCGAUAAAGAAGCUUGGCAUUCAGCCACAUGUAGUCUCACGUGAUAUCCACUGUCCUCGAUCGAAUGGAGAAGCCUCAUUUCAGCAGACGAGCAUCAAUUAGUCUAUCUACGCAUAACGGGGGGAAACAGGGAUAGAAGGUAAACGACAAUGGAGUUCCCAAGCAUAGAGGAAAAGCCUUCUUGAAUGAAAAGACAAGAAAUACAAAUUCGCAAGCAGACACCGCAUUGUCCCAUGUCUUCCAACCAUUCGCCCAUUUCCCAUUUCAUUCCUCAUCCUUCCAUUUUUAUACUUAUUUUCCUUCCGGGGUAAUAUUUUCCAAUUGGAAUUCCAAUCCGCUUUUAUCAGUCCCGCAUCUGGACACUCAGAAGCCCAUCUCACGUCCCCUGGUCGAGAAGCCAAGCACAAGAGCAACACACCACAGCAAAGUUUUGAGGCGAAAAGCAUGGGUCGCAGAGGAACAGAGAGCAAAACAUCAUCAAGUAAAAAAAAAAAUUAAAAAAUUAAAAAACGGUGAGAUGAAGAUGAGGAUUACCAAACGAAAAACAUCAGGAGCGAGCCGAAAAUGGCUAUCAACAAAGCUUGCUGGGGACGAGAGUAAAAGAAGAAGAGAGCAGAAAUACAGAGUAGAUAGAAGCAUACGUAAAUUGAGGCCCAGGAAAGGGGGAAAGUGAAGGAUAGGAAAGU